rnacentral:rRNA from 1 species
GACGACCGCUGGCGGUGUGCUUAACACAUGCAAGUCGAACGGUAAGGCCCUUCGGGGUACACGAGUGGCGAACGCGUGAGUAACACGUGGGUGAUCUGCCCUGCACUUCGGGAUAAGCCUGGGAAACUGGGUCUAAUACCGGAUAGGACCACUGCCUGCAUGGGUGGUGGUGGAAAGCUUUUGCGGUGUGGGAUGGGCACGCGGCCUUGCAGCUUGUGGGUGGGGUGAUGGCCUACCAAGGCGACGACGGGUAGCCGGCCUGAGAGGGUGACCGGCCACACUGGGGCUGAUAUACGGCCCCGACUCCUACGGGAGGCAGCAGUGGGGAAUAUUGCACAAUGGGCGCAAGCCUGAUGCAGCGACGCCGCGUGAGGGAUGACGGCCUUCGGGUUGUAAACCUCUUUCAGCACCGACGAAGCGCAAGUGACGGUAGGUGCAGAAGAAGGACCGGCCAACUACGUGCCAGCCGCCGCCGUAA